AUCCAAGUGACGAGUCCAAAAUAGGACGAAACGCAAGUCCUGGAU
rfam:Schistosoma mattheei strain Denwood, Zambia genome assembly, scaffold: SMTD_scaffold0000122